rnacentral:rRNA from 1 species
AUGAACGCUGGCGGCGUGCCUAAUACAUGCCAGUCGAGCGAACAGACGAGGAGCUUGCUCCUCUGACGUUAGCGGCGGACGGGUGAGUAACACGUGGAUAACCUACCUAUAAGACUGGGAUAACUUCGGGAAACCGGAGCUAAUACCGGAUAAUAUAUUGAACCGCAUGGUUCAAUAGUGAAAGACGGUUUUGCUGUCACUUAUAGAUGGAUCCGCGCCGCAUUAGCUAGUUGGUAAGGUAACGGCUUACCGAGGCAACGAUGCGUAGCCGACCUGAGAGGGUGAUCGGCCACACUGGAACUGAGACACGGUCCAGACUCCUACGGGAGGCAGCAGUAGGGAAUCUUCCGCAAUGGGCGAAAGCCUGACGGAGCAACGCCGCGUGAGUGAUGAAGGUCUUCGGAUCGUAAAACUCUGUUAUUAGGGAAGAACAAAUGUGUAAGUAACUAUGCACGUCUUGACGGUACCUAAUCAGAAAGCCACGGCUAACUACGUG